CCCUUAGAUGUUCGGGGCCGCACGCGCGCUACACUGAAGGAAUCAGCACGUCUUUCUCCUUGUCCGAAAGGACUGGGUAACCCGCUGAACCUCCUUCGUGCUAGGGAUUGGGGCUUGUAAUUCUUCCCCAUGAACGAGGAAUUCCCAGUAAGCGCGAGUCAUAAGCUCGCGUUGAUUACGUCCCUGCCCUUUGUACACACCGCCCGUCGCUACUACCGAUUGGAUGGUUUAGUGAGAUCCUCGGAUUGGUUCCGGAGCGGCCUCUGGUCGUGCCGGAGUGCCGAAAAGAAUGUCGAACUUGAUCAUCUAGAGGAAGUAAAAGUCGUAACA
rnacentral:rRNA from 1 species